rnacentral:rRNA from 1 species
GUGGGGAAUUUUGGACAAUGGGCGAAAGCCUGAUCCAGCCAUGCCGCGUGCAGGAUGAAGGCCUUCGGGUUGUAAACUGCUUUUGUACGGAACGAAACGGUCCGGGUUAAUACCCUGGGCUAAUGACGGUACCGUAAGAAUAAGCACCGGCUAACUACGUGCCAGCAGCCGCGGUAAUACGUAGGGUGCAAGCGUUAAUCGGAAUUACUGGGCGUAAAGCGUGCGCAGGCGGUUUUGUAAGACAGGCGUGAAAUCCCCGGGCUCAACCUGGGAAUUGCGCUUGUGACUGCAAGGCUGGAGUGCGGCAGAGGGGGAUGGAAUUCCGCGUGUAGCAGUGAAAUGCGUAGAUAUGCGGAGGAACACCGAUGGCGAAGGCAAUCCCCUGGGCCUGCACUGACGCUCAUGCACGAAAGCGUGGGGAGCAAACAGGAUUAGAUACCCCUGUAGUCC